UACGUAGGGUGCAAGCGUUGUCCGGAAUUAUUGGGCGUAAAGAGCUCGUAGGCGGUUUGUCGCGUCUGCUGUGAAAACUGGAGGCUCAACCUCCAGCCUGCAGUGGGUAUGGGCAGACUAGAGUGCGGUAGGGGAGAUUGGAAUUCCUGGUGUAGCGGUGAAAUGCGCAGAUAUCAGGAGGAACACCGAUGGCGAAGGCAGGUCUCUGGGCCACUACUGACGCUGAGAAGCGAAAGCAUGGGGAGCGAACAGG
rnacentral:rRNA from 1 species